rnacentral:rRNA from 1 species
AGAGUUUGAUCCUGGCUCAGAAUGAACGUUGGCGGCGUGGAUUAGGCAUGCAAGUCGAGCGAGAAGGUUUCUUUUGCUUGCAUUAGAAACCGGAAAGCGGCGAAAGGGAGAGUAACGCGUAGGUUAUCUGCCCCCAGGUCUGGGAUAGCGGCGGGAAACUGCCGGUAAUACCGGAUAAUGUCUCCGGACCAAAGGUGUGAUUCCGCCUGGGGAUGAUCCUGCGUCCUAUUAGUUUGUUGAUGGGGUAAUGGCCUACCAAGACGUUUAUGGGUAGCGGGCGUGAGAGCGUGGCCCGUCUCACUGGGACUGAGACACUGCCCAGACACCUACGGGUGGCUGCAGUCGAGAAUCUUCCGCAAUGGACGCAAGUCUGACGGAGCGACGCCGCGUGCGGGAUGAAGGCCUUCGGGUUGUAAACCGCUGUCAGUGGGGUGGAAAUGCAGUGGGGUUAUCCCCAUUGUUUGACCUAACCGCAGAGGAAGUCCGGGCUAAGUACGUGCCAGCAGCCGCGGUAAUACGUACCGGACAAACGUUAUUCGGAUUCACUGGGCUUAAAGAGUGCGUAGGCGGCUCUGAAGGUGGGGUGUGAAAGCCCACGGCUUAACCGUGGAAUUGCGCUCCAAACCGCAGGGCUUGAGGGAGACAGGGGUGAGCGGAACUGAUGGUGGAGCGGUGAAAUGCGUUGAUAUCAUCAGGAACACCGGUGGCGAAGGCGGCUCACUGGGUCUCUUCUGACGCUGAGGCACGAAAGCUAGGGGAGCGAACGGGAUUAGAUACCCCGGUAGUCCUAGCUGUAAACGAUGAGCACUAGAUCGUGGGGGCCUCCACACCCUCUCGGUCGUAGCGAAAGUGUUAAGUGC